rnacentral:lncRNA from 1 species
AGAAUCUUCACCAGGAGUAGAUUCCAUCUUAACAAACCACGUUCUUCGUUCAUCCAGAAGAAACAACUCCUUGUCUGUUCAAGUUUGAUCAUGAGAUUACAGCAAUUCGGUCACAUCUCCAGGCUCCCCUUCUAAUUCUGGUUUUCUUAACUAUUUUCACCACGCCUGAAAUUUCUUCAUCCACUGAAGCCUUGAACCCCUCAAAGUCAUCCAUGAGGGCUGGAAUCAACUUCUUCCAAACUCCCGUUCAUGUUGAUAUUUUGACUUCCUCCCAUGAAUCAUGAAUUUUCUUAAAGGCAUCAAGAAUGGGGAAUCCUUUCCAGAAGAUUUUCAAUUUGCUGUGCCCAGAUCCAACAGAAGAAUCACUAUCUAUGACAGCUAUAGCCUUACAAGAUGUAUUUCUUAAAUAAUAAUGCUUUAAAGUCAAAGUAACUCCUUGAACCAUGGACUGCAGAAUGAAUGUUGUGUUAGCAGGCAUGAAAACAAUAUUAAUCUCUUUGAACAUCUCCAUCGAACCUCUUGGGUGACCAGGUGCAUUGCCAAUAAGCAGUAAUAUUUUGAGAGGAAUCUUCAUUUCUGGGCAUCGAGUCCCAAUAGUGGGCUUAAAAUACUCAGCAAACCAUGCUAACCUGUUGUCUGCCAUGACCAGGAGCUCCAUUCUCACACCUCUCUUUCUGGCCUCGCUCAUCUCAGCCCAUGAUCUCUUUUACUUCUUGGGGAGAUGAAACCUUAAAGAAAGCCAUGCUGAUUAUCUAUUUCCCUUUUCUCCAGAAUGUAAGCCCACUGAAAAAUAGACACAAGGUUGUCUCCUGGCCUGUUAAAUGUGUCCAUGACUACACAGAAAUUCCUGCCUAUUGCCUGCUUUCCUGAUGGAGAAGUUCAUGAUCUGCAAUAAUCAUCAGUGAACUGCAGCCUUUAUGCCAAUUCUGGCCCACUGCUUGUUUUUUUCAAUAAAGUUUUGUUGGAACACAGCCAUGACCAUCAUUUAUAUAUUGUAUGUGGAUGCUUUCCAGUUACAAUGGCAGAGAUGAGUAGUUGUCACAGGAGUCACAAAACCUAAAGUAUUUGUUAUCCGACCCUUUACAGAAAAUUUUGCUGACCACUGUUCCAUGUGAAUGAAGGUUUCUGAAGCAUUUGCACCUAGAGAAGAUUGUGAGAUAAUUAAGUCAUCAACCAGAUCAUGGUGGUAGACACCUGCCCUCACACUCAAAUAAACCUAGUGACCAGCAUUGGGCCUAGAAACAGAAAUCUUGAUGUUGCAAAAAGAUAUCACUUGUCACAUUAAAUUAAAGAUAUUAAGAAAUUGACUAGUCCUGUCAAAUAAAUUAAAAAAUUUAUUUGUAUUUAAUUUUUAAGUUUGUUUUGAUUUUAGAGUUAAUGUAAUAGCUUAAAAAAAGGGGGGAA